rnacentral:rRNA from 1 species
GACGAACGCUGGCGGCGUGCCUAACACAUGCAAGUCGAACGGGGAGUUAGUAAUAACUCCUAGUGGCGAACGGGUGAGUAACGCGUAGAUAACCUGCCUCUGAACUGGGGACAACACAGCGAAAGUGGUGCUAAUACCGAAGGUGGUAUCUUGGUCGCAUGACUGAGAUAAGAAAGAUGGCCUCUGAAUAUGCUAUCGAUUAGAGAUGGGUCUGGGUCUGAUUAGCUAGUUGGUGAGGUAACGGCUCACCAAGGCGACGAUCAGUAGCCGGUCUGAGAGGAUGAACGGCCACACUGGGACUGAGACACGGCCCAGACUCCUACGGGAGGCAGCAGUGGGGAAUCUUCCGCAAUGGACGAAAGUCUGACGGAGCAACGCCGCGUGAGUGAAGAAGGUCUUCGGAUUGUAAAGCUCUGUCGUUUGGGACGAACGUAUUCUAUGUGAAUAAUGUAGAGUAAUGACGGUACCAAAGGAGGAAGCCACGGCUAACUCCGUGCCAGCCGCCGCGGUAAAAC